rnacentral:pre_miRNA from 1 species
GAAAUACUUCCUCCGUUCGGAAUUACUUGUCGCAGAAAUGGAUGUAUCUAGACGUAUUUUAGUUCUAGAUACAUCCAUUUCCGAGACAAGUAAUUCCGAACGGAGGGAGUACUUA